rnacentral:rRNA from 1 species
AGUCUACGUUGCACGGAUACUUGGAUACGUAUCGGAUACGCGAUACGGGGAUACGCCCGAUACGUCAAUUUUCUAAAAACAUGGAUACGGGGAUACGUUUAUAUAUAGAUGUUAAAUAUUAAUUAUUACAAAUAUGAAGAAAAAAAAUUAAGGAGCUUCUAGGUCAAAGCAUGCCUCAAUAAGAUUACCCCUUUCUUUUCUUGCACUUAGUCCACUUUUAUUAAUUGGCCGUGAGAUUUGACCAGGUUUGCUGUUCCAAUCAAUGCAUCGACUCUCUCUUGCUCACAUAAACUCACGCCCAUGUUGGGAAUCUUCAAAGGCGCCUUUAUUAUUGAGGGGAUUUCACGUCGAACGAGGGGUUUCAGGUAUCCAAAACGUAUCGCAGAAGUAUCCUAGGAGUAUCAAACAUUAUUUUCUUUUUUUAAUAUCAAAAUAUCGAGGGAUACUUACGGGAUACGUAUCGGGAAGUAUCGCGGCAGUAUCCGAGUAUCGGGGCAGUAUCCGACUGGAUACGCGCACUUUUUGAAGUAUCCGCGCAACG